rnacentral:lncRNA from 1 species
CCUCGGCCUCCCAAAGUGCUGGGAUUACAGGCGUGAGCCACCGCGCCCGGCCAGAAUUUUUGAUUUUAGUUUUAUCAAUGAAUUAACUGUGAUUUUCUCUCCUGUUUCUAUUAUUUUUGCUAUAAUAUGCUGUUAAUUAGUCUCCAAAGAUGGCCCCUAACAAGUUUUCUCCUUGCUUUAUGCACAUAUUUCUACAUACAUCAAAAUGUGGUAGCUUAUCUUUUCUUAUUUCCCCUAAACCUUCACCCUCUGGAAUGGUCUUGUGACUGGUUUUAACCAAGGAAGGUGGGAGAAGUGAUGUUCUAAGAGUUUAAAAUCAAAGCCUUAAGAAGACUAGCAGCUUUACCUUCUUGUCUCUUGGCACCAUGCCUUGAUUUGGGAAGGAGCCCAAGGUACAUGGAGAGGAAUGUGGAGGGUACUGGGUCUUGAUCGACAGCCCCUGCUGAGCUACCAGCUGAAAGCCAGAGACAAUUGCUAGACAUUUAAGUGAAUUAUCUUGACAUACCAGCAGAGUUGAGUCCCCAAAUGACUGUAGCCACAGCUAACAUCACAUGGAACAGAACUGCCCAGGUUUACAGUUGAGGAAACAUACUCAGAGG